rnacentral:rRNA from 1 species
GACGGAGGAUGCAAGUGUUAUCCGGAAUCACUGGGCGUAAAGCGUCUGUAGGUGGUUUGAUAAGUCAACUGUUAAAUCUUGAAGCUCAACUUCAAAAUCGCAGUCGAAACUAUUAGACUAGAGUAUAGUAGUGGUAAAGGGAAUUUCCAGUGGACCGGUGAAAUGCGUAGAUAUUGGAAAGAACACCGAUGGCGAAGGCACUUUACGGGGCUAUUACUGACACUCAGAGACGAAAGCUAGGGUAGCAAAUGGG